UUUAGAAAAUGGGCAUAAUGGUCACACCAAGUCAUAUUUGUGGCCUUUAUAUGGUAAUUUGCGGGCGGUGUUUAGCGAUUCACUUAAAAAAGCAGACCAAAACAUUAUUCUAUUUUUUUUAACUUUUAACAUAAUAAAACAAACAUAAGGCAUUAAAAUUCUGAACAAAAUUACCAAAACUUUUGACCAUUUGAAUAUAAGUCAUAAUUUAUAUGAAUAUAAGGCAUUAAACUUUUGAACAUAUGAACAUAUGGCAUUAAAAUGUUAAACAAACAUAUACAAAAUCCUUUAAACAAACAAAAGAACAUAAGGCAAUAAAAUUUAUAACAAUCAUAAAAAAAAUCCUUGAACAUAUGAAUACAAGUCAUAAGUCGUAGGAGCAUAAGGGAAAUUUUUUUUUAGACAUAUGGCAUUACCAUUUUGAACAAACAUGAAUAACAUGUGAAUAAAAUGCAUUAAACUAUGAAUAAAAAAUUAAAAAUAAGAAGAAAAGCAUACCAACAAAAAUGGCAGUGGACCCUUGAAAAAACCCUUGGUGUUUAGUUUCCACUCAGGUACUGUGGAAAUCGAACUUUGAAGCACAUACUUGCACCAAUUCAAUUUCUUAAUCUCAACACAAUCUUGAAUUGAGUGCAGGAAUUUGUAGUGGCAGUGAAGCUUUUGGCUUGUUUUCAUCAUUGAAUUCACAGCUAGCACAAGGAAAUCUAUCUUGAACAUUUCACUUGCUUCUCAUGUGUUCUUCUCCUUUGAUUUAAUGUCUGUUAUGACAUAUUUCCUUUUAUGCAAUGCUUGUUGAUCUAUCUUGUUCAUCUUUUCUUCUUCACACUAGUGGAAAAAUUUCUAUUAUCCGCACCCUAUUAGCAAUUGGCGUUAUUUGUGUUAGUUACUAAAACACUAUUUGCAACUGGCCUAAUUAAUGUCAUGUACAAAUACUAAGUCAUUAGCAACAGACACAGUAAUGAACGCUGCUAAUAAUUGGAUUCAAAAAGUAAAAAUUACCCGCAAUUGGCCUUUUUAAUGCCCGCUACUAAUAGUAACUAUAUUAAUAAAAUAAAAUAUUUACUCGCAACUGACCUUUUAAAUGCCCGCUACAAAUACUAGGUCAACUAAAAUUUGACAAAAUAUUUGUAACUGACCUUGAAAGGCCAGCUGGUAAAAGUAGGGAAUAAAGUUCUAAAUUUGACCCAUGUUAUCGCUUCUCUCCCAUUACAAGCUUCUCUCUCUUCUAAAAUAUUGAAAAGCUAAUUUUCUCUCCUAAGCCCUCAUCUCCAUUGUCCUGAACUUCACUCACCACUCCUCCAUUGUCCAUGAACUUCACUCAGCCCUCUCCUUAAUUGCUAGAAGAUUUUAAUUAAACUCUUCUCCAAUUUUCAACUUUGACAUCCCUUGUGUAAACCCUAACCCUUGAAAAAUGAAGAAAAGCUCCUAAAUUUGGGUACAAACCCAAAAUUUCAAUUAAUCGAAACAAUUGCUACUUAUUUGAACGAAAAUCCAACCUCCUUGCUUAGAUCAUAUAAAUUUUCAGUAGUUAGUUACUCGAAUUUAAGGUUUGGGGUCAAACUUUUCAAGGUAGUGUUGUUGAACUCGUUGGUGUUUUGGGGUUGAACGACGGCAAGGCAGCGGUGGGAAUUUUAGGGGUUUUGCUGGUCAAGUUUUGGGGUAUUGUUGUUGAAUUUAUGGGAAUUUUACGGUUGAAUUUGCGAUCACUUUUGUGGAAUUAUUUACUAUUGAGUGAAAAAAAUAUCAUCUUUAACCCAUUAAGAGCUUCUGUUGUUCAAAGCCAUAGUAGAGGAAGAUGGAUUAUGCUUUCCAUACACUAAGACUAAAAUUCCUCUCUUCAUCUUCUUCAAAAAUGCUAGGUACACUUUCCUUUUUUACCCUUCUUUAUUUUUCCAAUUUUUUCUUUCUACUAAUUUUUUUUUUCAAUUUCAUAUUAUAAAUUAUAUGGGGUAUGCUGUUAAAAUUGUUACAUGGAACUUAAGACUAUUUUUUUAAUUUUUAUUUUAUUUUAUUGGAAGUAAAAAGAGAUUAUGUAUUAAUUUUUUUUAUUGGUUUGAUUAUAUUAUAUGAUGUAUGUGAAAUAGGAUGGUAUUCAAGAUGGAUGAACUUGGAGUGGAAAUAUCAUAGAUUGCAUUACCAGCUGUUCUAGCUUUAACUCUAGGGUUUGAUUGAUUUGUAUUAGGUUGCAUAUUAUGUGGUUUAAUUUUGGUUAGGUGUGUGAUAAUUGUGCUACGCACAAUGUCAAAUUGUUGUUUUGUUUUAUUAAAUUAUAUCCUCUUUUGUCAAACAUAUGAAAUUUAAGGAGUAUAGCAGAGGAGUAGGUUUUUGGGAAAGGAGAAUGGUUAUAUCCUUGUUGUGGGAUUAUUGGACUUGUUUCCAUCUUAAAUACCCUUUGUUGAUCUAGGUAUGAUGAAUAGUGUGCCGAGGUCAACCACAGAUGCUUGAAUGACAUGUUGAAUGGUUGACAUUGACAUAUCACAUAUGUUAUGCAUCUCCUACUGCUUAACUUACCGAGUACCAUAAUAGAUAUUUGGGGCUGUAGAAUAUGCAUCAUCAAUUGAUAUCUAGUCUGCUAGUUUCUUGAAGAACUUCAUCGUAGGCAGGUUAGUCUUUUGGUAUAUUAUGAAGUGUAUACUUGCUACUUCUUGCUUCAGUGAUCCUCUUCUUAUUGAUCCUUAUCUUCUUUUUUCUUGUCACAAAACAACCAUUUUUCCCUGGUGAGAAUGCAGUGGAUCAACUUGCGGAGAUUAUCAUGUUUGUUGGGUAUGAAUUUAGCUUUAACUUUGGUGCAAUUGAUGGUGCUGAGGCUGAGCUAGAAGAAUUGAGCAGCAAAGGAGCUGACUUGGAAGAUGUUGAGAUGGAAAAUUCCUAAGGGAAAGAAGCUGAAAAAGAAGAGAAGAAGGAAAGGACAGUUGUCCAGGAAGAAGGAAUGAGCACUGAAAUUGAGGAGAAUAUUACUUGAAAGCUGUAAUUUGUCUUUAUCUUUUUGUCCUUUUAUUUUAACUUGUUAUGCUAUAGUAAGCUGAGCCUAUCAGCAAUUUUCAAGGCUUUAUAAUGCCAUAUCCUUGAAAUGAAAACUUUAAGUAAUUAAUGAAAUCAUCUCCUCAUUUCC